rnacentral:rRNA from 1 species
UUUUAACGGCCACGGUACCCUAACCGUGCGAAGGUAGCAUAAUCACUUGUUCUUUAAAUGGGGACUCGUAUCAACGGCAUCACGAGGGUUCUACUGUCUCCUUUCUCUAAUCAGUGAAACUAAUCUCCCCGUGAAGAAGCGAGGAUAACACUAUAAGACGAGAAGACCCCAUGGAGCUUUAAACCCAAUUAUAUCCCUAACCCCUAUACCCAUUUAACCUCUUAGGCCUAUAUACUUGGUUUUAGGUUGGGGCGACCACGGAGUAAAACCAAACCUCCAUGAUGUACGGAACAACCUCCUUAUCUAAGAGCCACAGCUCUNAGAAUUAGCACACUAUCAUAAAAUGACCCAUUAUUGAUCAACGAACCAAGUUACCCUGG